UACGGAGGGGGCAAGCGUUAUUCGGAAUUAUUGGGCGUAAAGGGCGCGUAGGCGGCCAGGAAAGUCAAAGGUGAAAUCCCUCGGCUCAACCGAGGAACCGCCUUUGAAACUGUCUGGCUUGAGGCCGGGAGGGGGUAGCGGAAUUCCCAGUGUAGCGGUGAAAUGCGUAGAUAUUGGGAGGAACACCAGUGGCGAAGGCGGCUACCUGGACCGGUUCUGACGCUGAGGCGCGAAAGCGUGGGGAGCAAACAGG
rnacentral:misc_RNA from 1 species